CUGUGCAAAGGUAGCAUAAUCAUUAGUUUUUUAAUUGGAAGCUGGAAUGAAGGGUUGGAUAAGAAAAAUUCUGUCUUAAUUUUAAAAUUAUAAUUUUAUUUUUAAGUUAAAAAGCUUAAAUUUUUUAAAAAGACGAGAAGACCCUAUAGAGUUUUAUUUAAUUGGUUGUAUUUUAUUUUAGAUUUUAAUUUUAUUAUAUAAUUGGUAUUAUUUUAUUGGGGUGAUGUAAAAAUUUAUUUAACUUUUUAUUUAUUUAUACACGAAUUAGUGGUUAAUUGAUCCUGAUUUUUAGAUUAAAAGAAUAAAUUACCUUAGGGAUAACAGCGUAAUUUUUUUUAGAGUUCUAAUUGAAAAAAAAGUUUGCGACCUCGAUGUUGGAUUAAAGUUAAAUUAUGGUGUAGAAGCUAUAAGGUUAGGUCUGUUCGACCUUUAAAACU
rnacentral:rRNA from 1 species